UAAAGUUUCAUGAUCUAGUUGUACUCCGAAAUAAAUAUUAUAACAUGCGAUGGGUUGGAAAAAUGAAGUUUCAUCAAUAUGAGUCCUUUCAUCUAUAUGUUUUCUAAUUCUAGAAGAAGGGUAAGGAUUAGGACUAGGAUUAGGAUUACUACUACUUUCACCUUUAUUGCUUUUUUUUACUAAUUUUUUUAAAUACGUCAAAUACAUUUUUAGGUGCCAUAAUUUAAAUACGAAAUUAAAUUAAAAAAAAGUUAAUAUAAAAAUUAAACACACAAAUGAAAUAAAAAAUAGAACACGUAAAGUAAACACAAAAAUUAAGCACUAAAAUGAUGCACAAAAAAUAUAUAUUAAAAUUAAGAGAUGGAACGAGUGCACUGUGAUUAAAUAUUGAAACUUGAAGAAAUUGCCCAAACUAUUGCUCCAAAUAUUUGACGAAUUAAUUUGAAGCUUGAAAGUUGCUCCAAAUAUUUGCCCAAAUACUUGAAACUUAUCACUUGAUUUUGAGAAAAUAGAGAGAAUAAUAUAGAUAGAAUGUAAGAGAUUUGAGAGAGAAUGAUUGACUUUUGUGGGAAAAAAUGAAAAAGGAUGAAGGUAUUUAUAGUAGAAAAUAAGGCCAAAGUAUAAUUUAAUAAACUUAGUGGUUAUAUUAAAAGUUUUGGGGGGGGGGGGAGGGGGCAAAUAUGGCUGUUUUUGGCCGUUGGGAACGACUAUUUUUGCAAUUGAAGUCGUUGCCCAACGGCUAUAAUUAAAAAAAAGAAAGAAUGCAGGACAAGCGGGACGGGACGGGAUAAAUGGGACGAAAUGGGAUAAGAUAAACGAGACGAAAUGGCCAUCCCGUCCCAUCCCGUGUCCCGUUUAAUAUGGGUCGAUCCUGUUUAGAAUUAAGUGGGACGGGCCGGGCCGGACGGGACGCCCCGUCCCGUUGGACGGCCUUAGUUCAGAGAAGAAUUCACAAUAUUUACCGGAAGAAAUUUUGACCCACGUUAUCCAUACGCAAAUGAAAAUUAAACCCAAAUAAUUUGGGUUCAAAACGUCAACAGAACGAAAGAAAUCAUAUACACUGCUCACACCAUAAAGCUUAAAGAAAAAAAGAGCGAUUAACGAAGAAAAUUCCCAAAUUAGAAAAGAAAAAUUACCUGAAGUUGAUUUAUCACAGAUUGCCUUUUGGGUCGAAAAAUUCUCGCGAUUGAAAUAUUUUUUUCACAUGUAAUCGCUUCCUUUAAAUUAUUCCUCUGUUCUUUAUCUCCUUCGCGUAAAACAAAUGGAUUUUGGGACUUUGGGGAUUUGGGAGUUUUGGGUUAGCAAUCGAUUUGGGUACUUGGGAAUUUAGGGUUAGCCACUGAAAAGAGAUGAUGAUUUUUCAAAGUAAAAUGGGUAUUUGAGAGCUUUGGAGGUGUCGACAGUAGUGUGAGUUUUGUGGGGGAGAUGGAUGGAAUCUUUUAUU
rnacentral:lncRNA from 1 species